GACAGAGGGUGCAAACGUUGUUCGGAAUUACUGGGCGUAAAGCGCGUGUAGGCUGCUUCGCAAGUCGGAUGUGAAAGCCCUGGGCUCAACCCAGGAAGUGCAUUCGAAACUGCAUAGCUAGAGUCCUGGAGAGGAAGGUGGAAUGCUUGGUGUAGAGGUGAAAUUCGUAGAUAUCAAGCGGAACACCGGUGGCGAAGGCGGCCUUCUGGACAGUGACUGACGCUGAGACGCGAAAGCGUGGGGAGCAAACAGG
rnacentral:rRNA from 1 species